UAAUACCAGGGGGAAAAGGUCAAAAAGUCGUUCGUGCUUGCACGAUAAGACUUUUGAACUUGGACCCCGCCAAACAUGAGGAAGUAGCAAUUUACGUAGUAAAUUAGCGGAUUCCGAAUGUUUGAGGAUUGCGUGAGCUGCGUGCAGCGGAGCAAUCCGGGAGUAUCA
rnacentral:sRNA from 2 species